GGUGGCUCAGUGGUAGAGCUCUUGCCUUGAAGCAUGCAUGAGGCCCUGGGUUCGAUUCCUCAGCACCA
rnacentral:tRNA from 1 species